rnacentral:tRNA from 1 species
GUGGCCGUAGCUUAACGGCAAAGCUCCUGGUUGUGGCCCAGGCGAUGCGGGUUCAACUCCCGCCGGUCACC